rnacentral:rRNA from 1 species
UACGAAGGGGGCUAGCGUUGUUCGGAAUCACUGGGCGUAAAGGGCGCGUAGGCGGCUUUGUAAGUCGGGGGUGAAAGCCUGUGGCUCAACCACAGAAUUGCCUUCGAUACUGCAUGGCUUGAGACCGGAAGAGGUAAGUGGAACUGCGAGUGUAGAGGUGAAAUUCGUGAGAUAUUCGCAAGAACACCAGUGGCGAAGGCGGCUUACUGGUCCGGUUCUGACGCUGAGGCGCGAAAGCGUGGGGAGCAAACAGG